CCACUUGCACUGGUGGAGCAUGAAACUGAAGCUGCAUGUAGUACUGAAACAGAGGUUAUAUACAGUCUCUAAUUAGAAGAAUGGAAAUUU